rnacentral:misc_RNA from 1 species
UCGCAAUUUCCUGAAGUCUGCAUCAA